rnacentral:rRNA from 1 species
GUGCCAGCAGCCGCGGUAAUACGUAGGUGGCGAGCGUUGUCCGGAUUUAUUGGGCGUAAAGCGCGCGCAGGCGGUGCCGCAAGUCCGGUGUGAAAGCGCCCGGCUCAACUGGGCGAGGUCAUUGGAGACUGCGGUGCUGGAGGGUGGCAGAGGCCGGUGGAAUUCCCGGUGUAGUGGUGAAAUGCGUAGAGAUCGGGAGGAACACCAGUGGCGAAGGCGGCCGGCUGGGCCAUACCUGACGCUGAGGCGCGAAAGCGUGGGGAGCGAACCGGAUUAGAAACCCCCGUAGUCC